rnacentral:rRNA from 1 species
CUACGGGCUGCACCAGGCGAGAAAACUUUGCAAUGUGCGAAAGCACGACAAGGUUAAUCCGAGUGGUUUCUGCUAAAGGAACCUUUUGACAGUCCUAGAAACACUGUUGAAUAAGGGGUGGGCAAGUUCUGGUGUCAGCCGCCGCGGUAAAACCAGCACCUCAAGUGGUCAGGAUGAUUAUUGGGCCUAAAGCAUCCGUAGCCGGCUCUGUAAGUUUUCGGUUAAAUCUGUACGCUCAACGUACAGGCUGCCGGGAAUACUGCAGAGCUAGGGAGUGGGAGAGGUAGACGGUACUCGGUAGGAAGGGGUAAAAUCCUUUGAUCUAUUGAUGACCACCUGUGGCGAAGGCGGUCUACCAGAACACGUCCGACGGUGAGGGAUGAAAGCUGGGGGAGCAAACCGGAUUAGAUACCCGCGUAGUC